rnacentral:rRNA from 1 species
UACGUAGGGCGCAAGCGUUAUCCGGAAUUAUUGGGCGUAAAGAGCUCGUAGGCGGUUUGUCGCGUCUGCCGUGAAAGUCCGGGGCUCAACUCCGGAUCUGCGGUGGGUACGGGCAGACUAGAGUGAUGUAGGGGAGACUGGAAUUCCUGGUGUAGCGGUGAAAUGCGCAGAUAUCAGGAGGAACACCGGUGGCGAAGGCGCCACUCUGGGCCGGUACUGACGCUGAGGAGCGAAAGCGUGGGGAGCGAACAGG